rnacentral:rRNA from 1 species
GGUUAAGCGAAUAAGCGUACACGGUGGAUGCCUAGGCAAUCAGAGGCGAUGAAGGACGUGCUAAUCUGCGAUAAGCGUCGGUAAGGUGAUAUGAACCGUUAUACCCGACGAUUUCCGAAUGGGGAAACCCAAUAUCCAAUGGAUAUUAUCAUUAACUGAAUACAUAGGUUAAUGAAGCGAACCGGGAGAACUGAAACAUCUCAGUACCCCGAGGAAAAGAAAUCAACCGAGAUUCCCCUAGUAGCGGCGAGCGAACGGGGAACAGCCCAGAGUCUUAAUCAAUAGCAGCAUCAGGAGAACGGUCUGGAAAGUCCGGCAGUAAAGGGUGAUAGCCCCGUAUCUGAAGAUGCUGUUAUUGUGAACUCGACGAGUAGGGCGGGACACGUGUUAUCCUGUCUGAAUAUGGGGGGACCAUCCUCCAAGGCUAAAUACUCCUGAUUGACCGAUAGUGAACCAGUACCGUGAGGGAAAGGCGAAAAGAACCCCGGCGAGGGGAGUGAAAAAGAACCUGAAACCGUGUACGUACAAGCAGUAGGAGCCUCUUCGUGAGGUGACUGCGUACCUUUUGUAUAAUGGGUCAGCGACUUAUAUUCUGUAGCAAGGUUAACCGAAUAGGGGAGCCGUAGGGAAACCGAGUCUUAACUGGGCGAAUGAGUUGCAGGGUAUAGACCCGAAACCCGGUGAUCUAUCCAUGGGCAGGUUGAAGGUUGGGUAACACUAACUGGAGGACCGAACCGACUAAUGUUGAAAAAUUAGCGGAUGACUUGUGGAUGGGGGUGAAAGGCCAAUCAAACCGGGAGAUAGCUGGUUCUCCCCGAAAGCUAUUUAGGUAGCGCCUCGUGAACUCAUCUUCGGGGGUAGAGCACUGUUUCGACUAGGGGGUCAUCCCGACUUACCAACUCGAUGCAAACUGCGAAUACCGAAGAAUGUUAUCACGGGAGACACACGGCGGGUGCUAACGUCCGUCGUGAAGAGGGAAACAACCCAGACCGCCAGCUAAGGUCCCAAAGUCAUGGUUAAGUGGGAAACGAAGUGGGAAGGCUCAGACAGCCAGGAUGUUGGCUUAGAAGCAGCCAUCAUUUAAAGAAAGCGUAAUAGCUCACUGGUCGAGUCGGCCCGCGCGGAAGAUGUAACGGGGCUAAACCAUGCACCGAAGCUGCGGCAGCGACACUAUGUGUUGUUGGGUAGGGGAGCGUUCUGUAAGCCUGCGAAGGUGUACUGUGAGGUAUGCUGGAGGUAUCAGAAGUGCGAAUGCUGACAUAAGUAACGAUAAUGCGGGUGAAAAACCCGCACGCCGGAAGACCAAGGGUUCCUGUCCAACGUUAAUCGGGGCAGGGUGAGUCGACCCCUAAGGCGAGGCUGAAAAGCGUAGUCGAUGGGAAACGGGUUAAUAUUCCCGUACUGGUGGUAACUGCGAUGGGGGAACGGAGAAGGCUAGGUUGUCCGGGCGACGGUCGUCCCGGUUCAAGCAUGUAGGCAGAGUGAUUAGGCAAAUCCGGUCACUUAAUGCUGAGGUGUGAUGACGAGCCACUAAGGUGGUGAAGCAAUUGAUGCCCUGCUUCCAGGAAAAGCCUCUAAGCUUCAGGUUACCAACAAUCGUACCCCAAACCGACACAGGUGGUCAGGUAGAGAAUACUCAGGCGCUUGAGAGAACUCGGGUGAAGGAACUAGGCAAAAUGGUGCCGUAACUUCGGGAGAAGGCACGCUGGCGGUAAGUGAAGUCCCUUGCGGACGGAGCCGAAGCCAGUCGAAGAUACCAGCUGGCUGCAACUGUUUAUUAAAAACACAGCACUGUGCAAACACGAAAGUGGACGUAUACGGUGUGACGCCUGCCCGGUGCUGGAAGGUUAAUUGAUGGGGUUAUCCUUAGGGAGAAGCUCUUGAUCGAAGCCCCAGUAAACGGCGGCCGUAACUAUAACGGUCCUAAGGUAGCGAAAUUCCUUGUCGGGUAAGUUCCGACCUGCACGAAUGGCGUAAUGAUGGCCAGGCUGUCUCCACCCGAGACUCAGUGAAAUUGAACUCGCUGUGAAGAUGCAGUGUACCCGCGGCAAGACGGAAAGACCCCGUGAACCUUUACUAUAGCUUGACACUGAACAUUGAGCCUUGAUGUGUAGGAUAGGUGGGAGACUUAGAAGUGUGGACGCCAGUCUGCAUGGAGUCAACCUUGAAAUACCACCCUUUAACGUUUGAUGUUCUAACCUAGGCCCAUAAUCUGGGUCGGGGACCGUGUCUGGUGGGUAGUUUGACUGGGGCGGUCUCCUCCUAAAGAGUAACGGAGGAGCACGAAGGUUGGCUAAGCAUGGUCGGACAUCAUGCGGUUAGUGCAAAGGCAUAAGCCAGCUUGACUGUGAGAGUGACGGCUCGAGCAGGUACGAAAGUAGGUCUUAGUGAUCCGGUGGUUCUGAAUGGAAGGGCCAUCGCUCAACGGAUAAAAGGUACUCCGGGGAUAACAGGCUGAUACCGCCCAAGAGUUCAUAUCGACGGCGGUGUUUGGCACCUCGAUGUCGGCUCAUCACAUCCUGGGGCUGAAGUAGGUCCCAAGGGUAUGGCUGUUCGCCAUUUAAAGUGGUACGCGAGCUGGGUUUAGAACGUCGUGAGACAGUUCGGUCCCUAUCUGCCGUGGGCGUUGGAAGAUUGAGAGGGGUUGCUCCUAGUACGAGAGGACCGGAGUGAACGCACCACUGGUGUUCGGGUUGUCAUGCCAAUGGCAUUGCCCGGUAGCUAAGUGCGGAAGAGAUAACCGCUGAAAGCAUCUAAGCGGGAAACUUGCCUCGAGAUGAGUCUUCCCUGUCACCUAGAGUGACCUAAAGGAACGUUUAAGACUAAGACGUUGAUAGGCUGGGUGUGUAAGCGUAGCGAUACGUUGAGCUAACCAGUACUAAUGAACCGUGAGGCUUAACCUG